rnacentral:rRNA from 1 species
GACGAACCGUGCAAACGUUAUUCGGAAUCACUGGGCUUAAAGCGCGUGUAGGCGGGCCGUCACGUCGGGCGCUGAAAUCCCCCGGCUCAACCGGGGAAUGGGCACCGAUACGAGCGGCCUGGAGGGGAGUAGGGGGACCUGGAACUUCCGGUGGAGCGGUGAAAUGCGUUGAGAUCGGAAGGAACGCCCGUGGCGAAAGCGAGGUCCUGGGCUUCUACUGACGCUGAGACGCGAAAGCCAGGGUAGCGAACGGG